AGAGCCAAAGGAACUGUCAGUUGGGGGUGUCAGUUAACUAUACUAACUGCUGCACUUCCUCCAGGAGGAGAUCUGAGCAGUACACCUCCAUGACAGCAUAUCACCAAUAUGUCUAGAAGGUAAAGUUUUAAGCUUUCAUGUUUAGCUGAAGACUACUUGAUUGACCCCUAAAUGUCUGGAAACUUCACUUCAGGAAACUCUCCUCCACAAAUUUGAGGAAUAAAAGUUGAGGCAACAUCUGGGUUAAAAUUGUACAGAAGUGGAAUAGUUAAGAGAUGCUGCUCAUCAUGCAUUUAUUUCUAUUGGUGGAGAAGCUCAAAGCCAUUUCCUGGUAUGGAGCCGAGAGCUGAUACUUUCUUCUCCACAUUUGAGAGCUUUUUACCAAGUGUUCAAUAGCUUCCAUGGUGAUGAUGGUGCUUUAGAAGUCAUUGGCAUUAGGAAAGCAGAACCUCAUAGAACUUUCUUCCCCAAUAAAAUCAUCUUUUAAAACUG